CAGCCCUGGACCAGUAAGGAGCUGGUUGCAAGCUUGAGAAGGUCUUCGAGCCUCGUUGAGCUAAACUUGUACUCUUUGAAGCUGGUUUGGGAGGUAUUCUAACCUGAGCGAGAGGGUGUUUGACCCUUGGACCGCCUUCGUCUGGUCUUGGAGGACCUUCUGGAAGCUUAACGUGAGGAUUGCGACCUAGUGGAGCUGAUCCUUGGAACUCCUUGGA